rnacentral:misc_RNA from 1 species
GUUCAAUGCUUGUAGUAUGUCUGUAUGUUGAUGACUUGAUAUAUACCGGGAAUGAUAGUGUCAUGAUUGAUACAUUAAAAAAAAUAUGAUGACUGAAUUUGAUAUAACUGAUUUAGGAUUGAUGCAUUAUUUUCUCGGUAUUGAAGUUAUGCAGUCACUAGCUGGUAUUUUUAUUUCAUAGAAGAAGUAUGUUCUUGAGAUUUUGGACAAGUUCAAAAUGAAGGAUUGCAAUUCAGUUUGUAAUCCAACUGAAUAUGGCUUAAAGUUGAUGAAAGAUGAAGGAGGGAAGAAGAUAAAUGCCACCUUGUACAAGCAAAUUAUUGGAAGUUUGAUGCAUCUAACUUCAACCAGACCUGACAUCAUGUAUGGUGUUAGUUUAAUAAGUCGAUACAUGGAGAAUCCAACUGAGAAUCAUCUCUCUGCUGCAAAAAGAUUUUUUUCGUUAUUUAAAAGGCACAGUUGAUUUUGGAAUUUUUUAUGCAGCUGGAACAAAAGGAAAUUUGAUUGGCUUCUCAGAUAGUGACUUUGCAGGUGACCUCAAUGAUAGGAAAAGUACAAGUGGAUUUGUUUUUUUGAUGAGUUGUGGGGCUGUAUCAUGGUCAUCAAAGAAACAACAAAUUGUUACCUUAUCAAGUACUGAAGCAGAAUUUAUUACAGCAGCAACAUGUUCAUGUCAAGCUAUUUGGUUAAGAAGAUUGCUUGAAACACUCCAUAAUCAGCAGCAAGGUUCAAUAACAGUCUUUUGUGACAAUGUUUCAGCAAUCAAGAUUUCUAAAAAUCCAGUUUUACAUGGAAGAAGCAAGCAUAUUGAUGUUAGGUUCCAUUUUCUGCAUGAUCUUUGCAACAAUGGAACAAUUAAUUUGAAGUUUUGUAGAAGUCAAGAUUAGGUGGCAGAUAUUAUGACUAAACCGCUCAAGCAAGCUGUGUUUGUUAAGCUUCGAAGAAUGCCUGGAGUAUGCUCUUCAAUGGAAGUUGUUCAAGAGCUGGCUU